AGACGCAACCCUGGCAGCGCAGCCCGGAGCACAGCCGAGGCUUCCUCUUUCUCUCAGUUCCUGGCUGCUUCAGUAUGAACAGAAAAGGUGGGCAGGGGCCAACUGGCAGGAGCCUCCGAAAUAGCAGCACAUGAUCCUCCUACCAGCAGCAGAAAGGCCAGCCCGCAAGACCUCGCCGCCUGCCCAGCUCUGUCAUUGACUAAGGUUGCUUUUGUCAGUACAGCCGCCAGGGGUUUCCACGCUCAUUCCCCUCCGGACAAGGUGGACAGCUUUGGUGAUAGACAACUGGGAGGUAAAACUCCACAGAGCCAUGCCAGCGACUGACCGCCCAGGGACAGGAGAUGGAGACGUUCAGCUGCAAAGGCUACGGAGGAACCCCCGCAAUUGGAAUCUCUCCAUGCCUUCUGCAGCAUGGAAACAUACUCCGGGACCUACCGGGGCUCUCUCGGGCCACCUCUGAGUGCAAGGGAAAAGAGUGCAGUUCAAGGAAGGGAAUGUGUCUGUCAUCCCACCACUUGCGCGCAAGGCCAGUUCCGGGAUCAGCAGGCUUCCUUCACCAGCACGGGCUCUUCAUUAGCAACCACUGGGAGGGAAUGUGUGCGGAGUCAUGUCAAGAUGGGAAGGCACAUGUUCCUAUCUUGACAGCAGCAGAAAGAAAAAUGGCAGCAGAAGGAAAACAGCAGCAGAAAGAAAAAUUUGACUCAGAUGGGUUGAGAGGGCAAUGGCAAGCAAUCUUGGUACAUGUCAGCUGCAUCUCAGAGUCUCGCUUUGUUGCCCAGGCAGUGGCAUGAUCUUGGCUCACUCCAAACUCCGCCUCCUGAGUUCAAGCUGCUCGCUGGAAUUACAGGUGCCCGCCACCACAGCUGUCUAAUUUCUUGGUUUUUGUUUUUGUUUUUGAGAUGGAGUUUCGCUCUUGUCACCCAGGCUGGAGUGCCAUGGUGCAAUCUCAGCUCACUGCAACCUCUGCCUCCCAGGUUCAAGUGAUUCUCCGGCUUCAGCCUCCCAAGUAGCUAGGAUUACAGGCAUGCGCCACCACACCCGGCUAAUUUUUUGUAUUUUUAGUAGAGAUGGGGUUUCACCUUGUUGGCCAGGCUGGUCUCGAACUCCUGACCUCAAGUGAUUGACCUGCCUCGGCCUCCGAAAGUGCUGGAAUUACAGGCCUGAGCCACUGUGCCAGGCCAAAAU
rnacentral:lncRNA from 1 species